AAAGACCCAGUUUAUGCAAACUGCAACGUUUAUUUUGAUGGUUUUCGUGUCUGUCAAAUAUUAAACAAGUUUUAAAAAUGGGUUUACUGGAAUAUAUUUCCCUCAUAGAUUUCCUCGCAACCUCUGCAACAAUAUCCACAGUCCUUCAGUUUUUGACUGGAUUAUUAAUAUGCAGGAAAUACAUAAGAAAGAAGUCAACUGGAGACACCUCGGGACUGCCGUUUAUUUCUGGUUUUCUGUCCUGUUCGCUCUGGUUGAAAUACGGAUUGCUCAGUCAUGAGCAUACAGUCAUCUUUGUCAACAUCAUCGGUACUUCACUUUUUCUUUUAUACUGUUUGAUUUAUUUUACGUUUUGUAUUACCAAAAGGAUUGUGGUAAAGCAAUUCAUGAUAGCUACUGGAGUUUUGUUGUCAUGUCAUUUUUAUACGUUGUAUGAAACAAAUACAUCCAUUGAAGCAGAAAGGAUAGGACUUUUGUGUUGCAUUGUGAGUGUGAUGUUUUUUGCUUCUCCACUUACUAAAUUGACUCAUGUUGUGCGAACGAAAAGUGCAGACAGUCUACCUUUUCCUAUCAUCACAGCUUCCUUCUUCGUAUCAUUUCAAUGGUUUUUUUAUGGCGUGCUGGUUGAGGACAAAUUCAUACAGGUACCCAAUCUUCUCGGAACACUGUUAUCUUCAGUGCAGUUGAUGCUUUAUGUAAUAUAUCCAGCUAAAAAUGUUAUGCAGUAUAACAAUGGACCAUUGUAUGAACCUCUGAGUACGGAAAGCGAUUUGAUUUAAUGAGCAUUAUAAACAACGGGAUGCGAGAUGGACAUUCUGGCUAGUAGUAGCAGGGAUAUCAACGACAUUUGGGGCAGCCGUGCCAACUGGAUACAAUAUAGGAGUAAUAAAUGCGCCCGCAAAUGGUGGUGGCCAUAUGCAGUACGGUGAUAAGGGAUCCAGAGAAACUGGCGUUGUCGAAGUGUUCGAAUUAUUCGAAUAUGAUAGAUUCAAUUUUAUUUCUAAGAUUGAUUCACUGAGGUCAACUAUAUUUUUUUUUGUGGCGUUUAAAUAGCUCGGGGAGAUAGAGAUAGUUUGGAGAAGUAAAUUUUAAAGUUUAGAGUAGGCAGCGUAGAAUAGUAAGCGAUCAUGAGACGUUGGUUAGACACCAUCAUGCACUUCAUUAUAUCCAUUCCGGCUGGAUAUGAACAGAAUGCAGUUCAAGAUAACAAACCAACCCCUCCUGAUACCAGUUGGAGGAAGGACAAGGGUGGGUUCGAGACUGACCUCUACUUACUCCCCAAGCAUCUCACCUGUCGGCAACUUAUGGGAUUCGAACCCAAAAGUUUUUCUUGCCGAUACCGGGAAUCGAACCCAGUACGCCUGGGCUACCAGACUCGCGCCAGCCCAUACACUAGACCACAUCAGCGCUCAUUUUAUUUCUAAGAUUGAUUCACUGAGGUCAACUAUAAAUAUUGUACAUUUAAUUUCUGUUUAUAUUGGAAGUUAUCAUAUCUGGAGCAUUUUUUCGGAAUGGCUACGUUUUAUUUUCUUUUAAUUUAUUAUUUCAGCAUUUUGCAUCUAGAAAACUUGACCGGAAAUCCCGAUAUCCACGUCCUGGUUCCUCCGUUAUUGUUUUUUUUUGCAUCUUGAUGCAUGGUUGCCCAGGAAAUUGUGCGUCUUAACUAAUCGGUCCCGGAAGACGUCCGAGCUUCUGCACCCGGCGAAGAUUGACCUUGUGGGGGGAAAAUUUACAUAAAUAUUACAUAAAUCUAUCAUACGCUGACUCACCAUAAUGCUAGUUUCAUGUGGGAUUCUGCCAGGAUCGUGUAAAAGAACGUCGAGACCCACGUCGAUUUCCCGGGCAGCCAGAGUAGGUGUACCUUUCCCAAUUCCAAAUCGAUACGGAAAGAAUUUAUUCAUAUUGACCUUCAAUCCGCUUCUGGAAACGGAGUUUUUUUUAUAAAUAAGGCAAAGUGUCAAAGAUCCCUUCUGAUAGUUCAGAGAAAACGUGCUUUAUAUUAAGGUGCUCGAUUUUUCAUACAUUUUUCGAAUUUGAGCAGAUUUCAUUCAGUUCAGUUAUUUGAAAUAGUUAAUGGGCAUAAUAAAUUUUAAUUGAGGUUAAACAAUUAUCGAACAGGGUGUUUGGCUCAUGCAGAACAGGACAAGUUUGAAAACUACAUCGGAAGCUUUUGGACGCUUUUAAUACGUUUGGGAAGAAUUUCCAAAAAAAAAAGUCUAUCAAUGCACAUAACUCCCGUAAGCUUCAGACAUUCUACGCCUCACUCAAUUCAUUGAUUACAUUGAGGUAAAAAAUUCAGCAACAUUGUGUUUUCUACCGUUGCAGUAUAAUUUCUAAUUCAACGAAAUUUCCGAUCGAAAAUUAAAAACAAAAAUCUUUGUUUACAGGUUCAAAAAUUGAGUUUGCUCUCUGCCUUCGAGCCGAUCAGUCGCGUUUUAUACUGCGUUCUUUUUUCGGAUCCAAAAGGCAACAGAUUUUUUUUUUAAUUGGAUGUGUGACUCAGUAAAGCCGUGAUGAGUCCUUCACCAGGAGACCAUCCUGGUCGGACCAUUCCCGAAUGGAUGGACACUGAAAACCUGCAAGGUAGACUUUACUACAUGUUUUUGCGUGCUAGACCAGGCCACACACUUCCAAAAAACCCUUUUGUUAUUGGAAGAUCGGUCGAAGAAUAUGCAGGAAAGGUGGAAGGAGGGUAUUUUGAAAAGCGGAAAUCGUGGUACGUGAUCAAAAAAAAAAAGAAAGCUUUUCACUCUAAGUGCUUUAAAAGAUGGUACACCAGUUGAAAUCG